AAAAAAGUAAAACGAAAGGUGAAUCCAACGAUACUAACAAAAAUUUGUGUAGAAAUUAAACACGAAUGGAAUGAAAUGUUCGGCUCGAACCCAUGGCUUGCUCAUGACGAGUGUAAAGACCUAAGAGAGUGCUUUUCAAUCCGUAAAGGCAUCUUCAUGGUCUUACAAGCCUUCAAGGAGUGGACAUUGUGUUUUGAGGCAAUGGAAAUGAACCUGGAGGAUCAGAAUAUAGGUAUCUAUUUGUGUCUUAAGCUGUGUUUGUUGAUCUCUCUUCCUUGUGUGGUAUUUUGAGCGUUUUAUUGAGAGGGGUGAUUCGGCUUUUCUUUCCUUGUUCAAUUUGAAAUUUGUCAAAGAACCUGUGCUAUUAUUUGGCUUAAGAGUAGUUGCCAACACCUUAGCAGAAGUGAUUAUGAUGAAUGCUGAAUGAGUUUUCAACCAAAAACACAACUGUUUUAUUUUAUCAUUUUUGCCUUUUUUAUUACAAAUACACAACUUUUCUUUUGUUGUCAUUUCUUUAAAUAAUAAUACCUUUGAAUUUAAUUUGUACAAAUGUAUGAUAUAAACAAACUGCUUAAAAAAUACAAAAAUAUUAACUUGAUGAAAGAAACAAUGCAGAAAAUAUGCAAACUUUAUGUACAAUCUAUAAAAUAAAUUCAAUAUCAAUUCUAAACUCCAGGUAGGGAUCAUGUUAUGUUUUGUAGAUAGCCUGAAAUGAAGCAAACAGAAUUAUAUGUUACUGUCAAUCAAAGACUUAUAAGCUUUUAAUCUUGUGAAUCUCACAACAAAAGUCUAAUCACCAAAUUGUUUCCAAUCAUGCUGUCACAGGCCUCAAGAUAUUGGGGGGCACGAUACAGAAACAUAAAGAAAACAGGGCUGUUCAGGUCAGCUUGCAAACUUGGUGCAAUAUCAAGCUGGUAGCUUGGUCCAUAUGACAGGAAAUGCUGGCAAGAGAGAAAAAGUCCAUAUAGAUUAUCAAAACAAUAACACACAACUCACAAAAUAUUGAAUGCUAAUUAUUUUUGUUUUGGCUUAGAUUUUUAGGUAAUGAUUUGAUAUCAGCCUUCUCAAAACCAGCCGGCUGCCGGCUCAACAAGCCAACUCCUAUUGAUGUUUGACUGUCUCCAUCCAGACGAAGAAGAUAUCAUUUUUGUUUUGUUAGUAAUAUCUUCGUCAACCAAACCGCCUCAAAUCUAGCAAGGACCUGUUCCUAAAAAAACUAUUUGAGAAGGCUGGAUAAAUGCAUUUCACUAGUGGUGUGACCCAUGAUAAUAAAGCACAUCUUAUUACUAA